rnacentral:rRNA from 1 species
UACGUAGGGGGCAAGCGUUAUCCGGAUUUACUGGGUGUAAAGGGAGCGCAGGCGGCACGGCAAGCCUGAUGUGAAAGCCCGCGGCCCAACCGCGGGACUGCAUUGGGAACUACCGGGCUGGAGUGCCGGAGAGGUAGGCGGAAUUCCUAGUGUAGCGGUGAAAUGCGUAGAUAUUAGGAGGAACACCAGUGGCGAAGGCGGCCUACUGGACGGUGACUGACGCUGAGGCGCGAAAGCUGGGGGAGCGAACAGG